UACAGAGGUCCCAAGCGUUGUUCGGAUUCAUUGGGCGUAAAGGGUGCGUAGGCGGCGCGGUAAGUCGGGUGUGAAAUCCCGAGGCUCAACCUCGGAACUGCCUUUGAUACUAUUGGUCUUGAAUGUUGUUGAGGUGGGCGGAACGGGUCAUGUAGCGGUGAAAUGCAUAGAUAUGACCCGGAACACCGAUUGCGAAGGCAGCCCGCUAAGCAACUAUUGACGCUGAGGCACGAAAGCGUGGGGAUCAAACAGG
rnacentral:rRNA from 1 species